CUACGCAUUCAUAGUGACACUACUUAUGAUUAUUGAUGACAUCAAAGAUUAUGAUGUGUUGGUAAAUGCGACGGUGAGUGGUGUCCUAACUGUGGCGACGGGGGGUAUCUUACCUAUUCUGACAUUGUUUGAGGGAGAAAAUUUAGAAGAAGAAACCUUAGAUGGAGAAAACUUAGAAGACGAAUACUUACAAGAAGGAGAAAACAACUCAGGUGGAGAAAACUUAGAUGGAGAAAACAACCCAGAAGGAGAAAAUUUAGAUGGAGAAAACUUAGAAGUAGAAAACAACUUCGAAGCUGAAACUUAGACGCAGCUUCGUAAGUGAGUGCUUGUGGUAUUGUUCUCUAAUUGGCAUUAAUGUUUAUGUAGUUUCAUGUCAAUAAUAAUCUGCAUAAUAAAGGUUUUCAUUAAAUGUCAAUGCAGAUUAGCCAGCUGGUUAAAUUCUUAUUAUGUCGUCGAAGUUUUAUUGUUGUAUAUGAAACAAAUUAAAAUUAAAUCUUGGGCACGAUUUUGGUUAGAACAGGUUGUAUCUUUUCAUUUUAGUGCAUGAAUAAAAUUGAGAAGAUAUUGUAAAUAAAAAAAGAUGUAAUAUUUUUCGUAGUUUUUUUAUAAAAAAAAUUGAGUAAUGAUAUUGGAACACUAUUAUUUUGAAUAUUUAUCAACACUUGUCAUUUUUUUUAUCUUUUUCUUUCUACCACGUCAAAUCACUAAUGCGUAUAAUAUGAAUGGACAAAAACAAAUAUAUCUUACAUAAUAUAGUAUCGAAGAUUAAGUGUCCGGAUAUCGAAUGCACGUGACUAAUUGUGUUCUUAAAAUAAUAUAUUUUAUUUUGCAACUAAGUAAUUGAGGAAAGAAAUUAAAUUAAGAUGGAUUGAUGAUCAAUUAUCUAAUGCAAGAUCAAAUCUAAACGAGUAAGAUAGUAUCGAGUAAGAUAGUAUGAAAGAGAAGAUGAUUUCAGGCAUACCAAUUCCACCAAUCCUAAUUCUAACAAGAUUCUUAGGAUUGUUAAUUGUCGAUUUUCUAAAGUCAAUUAUUAGUCAUUGAUUGUGGUCAAUUAUUAAUCAAUUUCCUAAUUAACCUACUAGAGGUUAUCCAACCAGUUUGGCAUGCAGUUUGAUAUAAAACACUUUUUUCCUAAUUCUACCAAUUACAUGUAAAUGAUCACUGUUAAGCAAUCAUUUAUGUAUUAGUAAGUCCAUUUCCACCAACCAAUUUGGUCAUGUAGUUUGGUAUAAAACACUUUCUUCCUAAUUCUACCAUUAAAUGCAAAUGAUUACUAUUAUGCAAUCAAUUAUGUAUUAGAACAUCCAUUUCCAAAAUAGAAAUUAAAAGUAAAGAAGAUAAUCAAUUAACUAAAUGACAUCGAGAAUUUCAUUAAAAUUAAGAAAGGAGUUCAAACUAGGUUACAUCAUAAUAAUCGAACUAGGGAGACUAGUUGCUCAUUGUACACACUAUUACAAAAAAAAAAAUUUUAACGUGUCUUACUUGGCACCUUGCUUGCAUGAGUAAGUACAAGUGUACAAUCUGUUUUAAAUUAUGUGUGUAUUGGUUUGUUCUAAUGGAUUGGUUUGUUUGAGAAAUAGAUCAAAACAACUAGAAAGAUCAUGCAUCAAAGAUAGAAAAUGGUGGUGAGUCUAGGAGGAUUUCUAGGUCUUUUAUACAAUGAUGUCAAUGUGACAUGUGAGCAUUUUCAUGGGAGAAAGAUAGAGAGAAAAAGAGAGAGGUAGGGGUGACAUGGAUGAAGUUACCAUUACCAAACAAUUUAAUAUCAUUUUAUUCCUCAAAUUAGUCACUUUAGUUCUUGAAAAAAAAAAGUGUUAUGGUUACUAUAAAUUAUAAAAAAACACCCCUAAAAUCUUCAUUUUUGACUCUUAUUAUGUAGAUAAUGAACAUCAUCUUAUUUUACUAACGAAGUUUGUAGAUGGCUAAAAGUAGGGAUUAACUUGGAUAACAUAAUUCAAUGUCAAAGAUUUAUUUUUCAUGUAUCUAAUUUUAGGAACUAAUAUUUUUUUAUUGGUAAGAAUUGAGCAUGGUAUUAAAAAAUUUACAAUACUCACACAUCUUACUCAACCAAUUAAGUUAGACCCCUUAAUAUUUUAGGAACUAUACCCCCACAAUUUUAGAGACUAAAAUGAUGAUUUGAUCCUUUUUAUUUUUUGUCGAAGAUGAAGAAAAAAGGAAGAAAAAAAGAUUUAGAUUUUUUAAAAAAUAUCUUUAUAUCUAUUCAUAACUUUUAAUCUUAAAUAAGAAUAUGAUGCGUUCUUUGUUAGUAAGAAGCAACAAAGGAAUAAGAAUAACAAAAAAGCACAUGAUAGGAAAUGAGAGCAACCAAGUCAGAGAAUAUCCUCUAGACUCCAAAUUUCAUUCAAAUCCCUCGUACCCCUUACAAUGACCGCCUUCCUUACAUAUAACUGAAUUCCCCUCUCCAUUGAUUUUCUCCUCUAACAAACUUAUUCCCCCUCUCACAAAAGGCUACUGCUAAAUAGACAAAUUUGCCCUCUUGGGCCUGAUGGCAUAUACUUGAUCAAAUCUACUCUUGGACUUUAAGUAUUUUGAGUUGCAAAAUAAUUUUAUAGGAUUUAAGUAUUUUGAGUUGUAAAAUAAUUUUAUAUUUUAUGAAUACUGUGAGUUAUUAAAUAAGUUAUGAGAUUAUAUUUUAUUAUGAAUGAGUUACUUAGGGGGUGUUUGGUUUGGUUAUUUUCUGUUUUCAUUUUCACCGAAAACAGAAAACGGUGAUGAAAAUGUGUUUGGUUGGAUUUCUGAAAACAUUUUCAGUGAAAAUGAAAACAGGAAACAGCCAGAAAAUGAAAACAAUAAAUUUUCGUUUUCAGUGUUUUCAGUUGAGAACAGAAACCUCAUUUCAGGUAAAAUAAAAUUGUGAUGACAAUGAAUGUAUUUUUAAACAAAUCUAAAAAUACAAAAAGACAAAAAGUCAAUAUAUCAUAAAUUUUCAGUAUUUUUAUUUCAUGAAAACAGAAAAUAAGAAGUCAAACCAAACAUAUUUUCAGAAUUCUAAUCUUUUGAAAAUGAAAACAAUUUUCAGAAAAUGAAAACAGAAAAUGAAAAUGCAAACCAAACACACCCUUAAAUUGCUUAAAGGUUUAUGACUUAUCUUUUUUUGUUUAUCCGAUAAUACAAUUUUUAAGUUUGAGGAUUUUAUUUUAUGGGAUUAUAUUUUAUUGUGAGUAUAUGUAUAAUAUUGAUUUUAAAAAAAUGUCCCUUACUAAUUUUUAAGUUUGAGGAUUUUUUUUUCAAAACUUAAAGAUGUGUUAAUUUUUUAACGGUCCAAUUCUAUAACCAACCCAAUCCAAUCUUAUAUAUAAAAGUUAGAUUAGAUUAGAUUGAGUUGUAAAAAAAAGGUAAGCUCAAUCUAACCCAAUCCAAUUAAAUUUAAUUAGAUUAGGUUGAAAAGGAAAUAAAACUUAACUCAAUCCAGCUCCUAAUCUAAAAUAUACAUACUAUGCCAACCUUCUUGGUAUUGGAUAGAAAUUUCACUAUUAAUUAAUAAUGUUGUAUUGUCUGCCAUAUUUUAGGUUCUAUAUUUGGUUUAAAGGUGGGAGGAAAAUAAUUUUAAUGAAAGAGGGAGAAGAAAAGAGAGGUGAUUACACGUUUUGUUUGGUUUAGAGAAGAAGAGAGAUUUUAAUAGAAUGAGAGAAAAUAAUCAUUUUCUUGUUUGGUUCAUAACUAGAGAAGGAAUUUUGAAAAUUAAUUUCCUUGCAUGUUUAUAUAAUUUUAUUUUCCAAAACAUAAGUAGAGAUAUUUUAGUUAAUACUCAUCAAAUAUGUUUUAAAUGUUUUUAUUUUUUUUCUCCCAAAAAUUAAACCAAAUUAUAAAAUUUUAUAAAAAUAUAUCCCUACAUCCCUCUUCCACCAUUUUCUUUUAACCAAACACUAUAUAUGUUAGAGUGAAUUAAUUAGAAAGAGAAAAAAAAAAACAAAAAGAAAGAAAGUAAUAAAUAUGAUAUAUAAUGUGACUAACAAGUUGAUCCGGUCAACGGUAAAAACAACUCAAAUUUAUUAAUAUAUUUUAAAAUAAUCUCAUUUUGGUAAUUAGUUUAUAAUUUCCCUUCUCAUCUUUCUCUCUUUUUUUUCCUACUUUGAAAGUAAUAAAUGUAAUACACAUUAAAUAAACACAUUCUAUUUGGAUAAUUAAAAAAAGUACAUAUCUAAAAUAUACUAUGCCAACCUUCAUGGUUUGGAUAAGAUUAUUUUUCCAAAAUCAAAUUCAGUUUCAGUCAAAACAAAAAAUAAUUAUUUCUACUUUUUCAUCAUAAUUUUGAGAACUUAAAUUGAUUCCAGUAGUUAUCCAAACACACCAAUAUAGGGUGGAUUCAAAAUGAAAGAAUAGAAGAAAAUAAAAGAUAGAAAAAGAAUAGUGUAAAUAUGAUAAAUGAUGUAACUAGUGAAUUGAUCAGGUCAAUGGUAAAAAGCAUCUAAAUCUCAUAAUAUAUCACAUUUUAGUCAUUAGUUUCUUAGAGUGUCCUGUUUUGGUGAACCAUUCCUUAGUAAAAUUACUCUUACCUUAAAGGACUUGCAUGUGUGUGUGUAUAUAUAUAUAUAUAUAUAUUAACUUUUGCAAAACUUUUGUUUGCGGCUAGUAAGAUCAGAGCCCUAUAAAAAUGUAGCCAAUAACCCAUAUUCCCACAUAUGUUCUAAAUCCACUAUUCAUCCAAAUGAAGAAUAUGUUUCUCAUCCUUUUCUUUUCUGCUCUUCUAAUUUCAUCCACUUCUAAUGCUUCUAACGUCAAUGAUUUCUGCGUAGCAGACCUCAAGGGUACAAAUAGCCCUUCUGGCUCUAACUGCAAGCCCGCUGAUACAGUAACAGCAAAUGACUUUGUCUUCACUUUUCAACCUGCAAACACAUCUAACCCUAUCAAAACUGGAAUCAGCACUGCAUUUCUUAAAGACUUUCCUGCUCUCAAUGGUCUUGACAUCUCUGCAGUACGUGUAGUUAUCGAUAAAGAUGGAUUUAUUCCAUUGCAUUCACAUCCUCAUGCCACUGAACUAAUAAUCGUGGUGGAAGGUCAAAUCACUGCUGGAUUCAUGGCAGCUACCAAAGCUUAUGUGACCAAGACACUGAAACCGGGAGAUCUUAUGGUUAUCCCACCAGGACAAUUGCAUUUUCUAGCAAAUUAUGAUCAAAGAAGAGCCACUGUUUUUGCUGCUUUUAGUAGCUCAAACCCUACUGUCCAUUCUUUUAAUAAUAUAUUUGCCAACAAUGUACCCUCUAAUGUACUUGCCCAAACUACCUUCCUUGAUGUUGCCCAAGUGAAGAAGCUUAAGGCUCGUUUCGGUGGCAGAAACUAGGAUAUUAUUGCUUGCUUAUUGAUUAAUUAGUUAGUUAAUGUGUUUGUUCCAAUGAUCAUAAACAAUAAACACUGAUUAUAUUCUUUUGUGUCUGAUAAGAUUAUAUAUACUCUUUCGAUCCCUUCAUCACUUAUAUACUAGAUUUUGAGUUCUCCCUUGAUUUUGUGCAUGUUCAGCUUUCAGGUGAUGCUUCAUGAACUUUGUAAUCUCGAUUAGUUGUUCUGGCUUUUAGCUGCCUUUAUGACAACAACAACAAAAAUGUUUAUGUAGACUUAAACUUGUGUUUGGAACGAGACCAAGUUGAUUUUCUUUAUGCCGAAAAGUUUUUGACGAGUGUACUACACAAGAUAAAGAUAAAAAAAUUAAAAUGGAGAAUUUUUUUUAAGAGUCGGUCUAUUCUAAUCCACAAUAUGAUAUCUGGAUGAUUUUCUUAAUUACAAAUAAUUAGGUAUGUUGAUAAACUACUCAAUAAACACCUUAGAAGAAUAAAAUAGAAUAACAAAUAAAAUAAAUAUUCAGUUAACUGCAAAACUCUUUGUUCUCCCUACAAGAAUGUUCAGUUGCCAUUCUUGUCAUCGACGAUGACAACCUCCGCAAGUAGGUCUUCGAUUCAACCCGCACAGUUCAGAGUCGUACAUGUAGAAGGUGCAUUAAAAUGUGGCAACUUGGACGGGGAACUUCUAUAUAAAAAAAAAAGGCUUGGACGGAGAGACGAGAAAAUGUUAGCGGUAGUUGGAGAGAGAAAGACAACAUUUUUGUGAAGAAAAAAUUGUGUCUUUUUCUUCUAUUACUGGGUUUUUUUUUUUUGCUGUGAAAGAACAAUCAAAGUAUUCAUUUGUCAACACUUCAGCACAUGUGUGUGAUUUGUCAUAUCAUGAUCACUUCAAUGUAUUUUAUUAAAUAAUAAAGACAAUUAGAUAAACAAACUCUUUAGUAUCUGAAAAUACUCAUUUAAUUGAUCCCAACACCCCAAUUAUUUGAUGAUAUUUAUGGUCAUAUAUCGAUUAUAUUUGCCCUUUUCGGCUUGAACUGGUUGAGAAUAUUUGAAUUUGAAUCCGUCCAUAACCAAUUACCCAUAAGCCUAAUUUACUUAUUCUGUAUGUAUGAAAAACAUGACCAUUAUCAACCAGACGAAGCUUACAAAUUUUUACCCCUUCAUGACACUGCGGUGUGUCAAAAGGAUUUGUAUUUGGACAAGAAAAUGGUACAAUAAUUUCCACACUAAAGGAAGAGAAGUGAAGGUAUUAAAAAAAAAGUAUGAGGUAAAAUAUCAAUAUGUUGAAAAGACAGAAAAACACAUAAUAUUAUAAAAUAUAAAAUUAAAUAUGUUCUUGGUAUUUACUAAUGUUUGUUUUUGUUCCUUAAAAAAUAUUUAUCAUUCAUGAAAAUGUGUUGCUCGCAAUUCUUAUAUAUUUUUCAUAUAUGAGUAUUUAUUUGUUAAAAACACAUUUCUAGAGCAAAUAAACAAACAAAAAAUGGCAUUUUACAUAUACUAAAAGUAAAUGUUCUGUUUACAUAAUCAUAGAUAUCUUCCUAAUAUGAAUACUUCUAUCACCUUAUGACCUUAAAAUUAUAAAUAAAAAAAAUAUUGUAUGAGUAAUUGUUGUAAUUUGUUCUAACAGUAAUGUAGUACUAUCAGUUAAGCUUAAUUUCAACACUCUACCCGACACAUGUUUAAUUUUACCUUUCUGUUUUGUUUUGUUUCCACUUAUUAGUGUAUGUAUUUAUUGUUACUACUAGUAGCCAAAUUCUCCGAAACAGGGCCAAACAAUGUGAGCAGAGAAACAUUACUACAGUAAUCUUUAUAGUUAGCAAACAUAUUCAUAACAAAUUACAUCUAAAAAAGAAUUAUUCCUUAGCGAAGUUUCUUUUAACUUGAUAGUUAGCAAACAUAUUUAUAGCUAAUGUAUCAAAAAUUCUUGUCCAUUCCUCGGUAGCUUGAAUAGUUGUGAUAUCAUCUAUGUCAAAUACUAAAUUUUCUACUGCACCCAUUCCCUUCCGUGUUAAUUCCUAUGGUUUUUAUGUACAAUAAUAUGUUACUUUUGCCUUUGUACAUUACAGAAUAAGCAAAACAGUGACAGCGUGACUAUUAAUUGCAAGUUGCAAUAUUCUUUUCUAUUUUCCUUUUGUUUUACACAUGAACAAUCCUGCAAAAUAAUAAGGUUAUUGCUGAGAUGACCUAAUCAUGCUCUAUUUUGGAAAUGAUGCGUUCUGGUAUUAAAAUAUGCUUUCUAUGAUUUUUAUUUUAUUUUUUUGUUCCUGGUUGCUUUAACCUAGUGUUUUGCCCCAUAGGUUAUCAUCAAUCACCAGGCUCUUCCUUGCCUUCUAAUCUAUUGACCAAUAAUUAUUAAAAAAGCAUCAAGAAGGAAGCUUGUUGGACCAUAUCAAACAUCACAACCGGUAAUAAACAGCAGAUUCAGGUAUAGUUACUUGUUCAUCAGUCCCUUCCCCUUUUGCAUAAUUGCAUGCACGUACAGAUUAUCAGAUGCAAGCCUGGACUUUUGAGUCUAUAGAUUAUUACAUUUUAACGAUGGAAAAAUGAAUUCAAAAGUCAAACUUAAUCAGAUUUUGCCAAAGGAGAAGAUAGAAGAAAAAUAAUCACGAUAGUAAUCAACCUGAGGUGGAAUGUGGAUUUCAGAAUAUGGAUUUUAUGAUUAUUGUAUCGUUAUGAAUCAUCAAACUAGUAAGGACCAAAAGUGGAAUUGUUGGUUGGUUAAAAGUCUUUAUUGGCAUUACUAUGUUAACACUUGACAUUAUUGGAGAAUAGAGACAAUAUUCUUUAACCAUUAGUAUUAGAGGCAUGAGGUAUUUUAGAUUCUUCAUCUUAAUGCCUAAGAUUAAAAUGGGACCUUGUAUACAAGGUUUGAGCCUGAAGCAUUCAUGUGAUCACUUACUAAUGCAGUUCUAAUUACUGAGAUUUCUCUUGUACUAUUAAAAACUCCUAUUGUGAUUUGUGCUAUAUCUUUGUUUCUUUCUCCUUUAUUCUAGAACUUAAAGUUAAUUAUUUUGCUGGCACAGGCAUUUGGUUGAUUGACACCAUAGAGGUCUUUAUCUGGGAGUUAAUGCAGAAUUCCAGAUCAUGUAUUUGCAUUUUUAAGAGCAAAUGCAUUUUUAUUCUUUCACAACGUAAAAGUAGCUUGUUUUAGGCACGUUUUAGCUCUACCGCACACUGUUUAAUUCCUUGAUCUGCAUGUUACUUGACUUAAAUACAAUUUGAGACUUACGGAUAAUGCAAUGGUACAACCCCUUUAUAUUUUCUGAUGACAUAAAACUGUACAAUUACUUGAAUUACAGUUGCUAAUUUUUCAAUCUUCAAUCAUUAUAGAAGCUUAAGGAACAAUCACAAGCUUCUUCUGUUCCUUUUCACAAACUUCUAAAAGUCAUAUAAACUCUCUCAUUCUUUAUUAUUCUCUAAAACUUCAAGGUUUUAUGGGCUUGGAUCUUUUUUAGAUAUUUUUUUAGAGAAAUUUAUCAGAGGGAACAAAUAACAAAUGCCAUUCAGCCUCCAAUGAAUUAAACACGGUGAAGAAUAAACACAAAGUGAAGAAACUAAAAUUCUAGAAGAAUAAACACAAGCACCAAAUUUGCAAAAAUGCUCACAGUACAAAUUAAUGAAAUCAAACAAUGAAUAUCCACAGUACAAAAUCAAUGAAAUCAAACAUUUAAAUAAAAAAUAAAUCAAAAAUUAACGAAAAAAAAAUGAAUACACUGUGGCACAGCGAGAGUGUGGAUUGAAAUCGCAAGGAAAACUUACUUGUGAGCGAACGUUAUGUGUGGUGCGUGAGAGUGACUGAGAGGGAGAGAGAGCUACGGAGAGAACUAGUGUACUAAGAGGGAGAGAAAGCGCUAGCGUCGUGUGCGUGAAAGUGACUGAAUUUGAUUUUGAAAAAAUAAUCUUAUCCAAACACCUUUUAUACGUUACCAUGAAGGUUGGCAUAGUAUAUUUUAGAUAUGUCCUUUUUUUAAUUAUCCAAAUAGAAUGUGUUUAUUUAAUGUGUAUUACAUUUAUUACUUUCAAAGUAGGAAAAAAAAGAGAGAGAAAGAUGAGAAGGGAAGUUUGAAUAUUUUUAUCCAUUAGAGAAAUGCUUACCCGGAAGAGAAUAUAAAUUUAAAGGUAAGUAAUUGUAUUAAAGGCUGGUUGACCAAAGUAGGGGUACUAUUAUAAACUAAUUAUCAAAAUGAGAUUAUUUUAAAAUAUAUUAAUAAAUUUGAGUUGUUUUUACCGUUGACCGGGUCAACUUAUCAGUCACAUUAUAUAUCAUAUUUAUUACUUUUUUCUUUUUGUUUUUUUUUUCUCUUUCUAAUUAAUUUACUCUAACAUAUAUAGUGUUUGGUUGAAAGAAAAUGGUGGAAGAGGGAUGUAGGGAUAUAUUUUUUUAUAAAAUUUUAUAAUUUGGUUUAAUUUUUGGGAGAAAAAAAACAUUUAAAAUAUAUUUGAUGAGUAUUAACUAAAAUAUCUCUACUUAUGUUUUGGAAAAUAAAAUUAUAUAAACAUGCAAGGAAAUAUCUCUACUUAUGUUUGAUGGUUUGUUCGGUUGAUCUUUACAGUAUUAGAGACGGGUUAUUGAGACGAAAUGUCCUAUGUCUAAUAAAUGUUAACUGAUGAUAUUUAUCUUGAUUACUAGUUUCUAAAAGUGUCCUAAUUAAUUUGAUCAAUCAUUUUUUUUAUAAAAUUACUCUUUUCUCAUUCUUUUCUUUUCCGCUCUUCUUUCAUCCACUUCCUAUGCUUCCAAUGUGAAUGAUUUCUGUGUGGCAGACCUUAAAGGUCCAGAUAGCCUUUCUGGCUAUCCUUGCUUGCCACCUACAACACUUACAGAUGAUAACUUUGUGUUCAAUCUUCAACCUGCAAACACCUCACAGUUCCCUACUAUCAAAGCUGGAAUUAGCACUGCAUUUGUUAAUGAAUUCCCUGCCCUCAAUGGUCUUGACAUCUCUGUAGCGCAUGUAGCUUUCGAAAAAGAUGGGUUUUUUCCAAUGCAUUCUCAUCCUGAUGCCACUGAACUAAUCAUCUUGGUGGAAGGUGAAAUCACUGCUGGAUUCGUCACCGGUAUGAAUUCGAUUGCUUAUCUGAAGACGCUGAAACCCGGAGAUCUUAUGGUUAUUCCACCAGGACAUUUGCAUUUUGUAGCAAAUUCUGGUAAUGAGAAAGCCACUGGUUUUGCCACUUUCAGUAGCUCAAACCCUACUAUCCAUUCAUUCAACAAUAUAUUUGCCAACAAUAUACCUUCUGACAUACUUGCACAAGCUACAUUUCUUGAUGUUGCCCAAGUCAAGAAUCUUAAGGCUCGUUUUGGUGGCAGCAACUAGUAUGAUUAAUUGCUAGCUUAUAAUUAAUUAUGUGCUGGCUCCAAUGGUUUUUCUUUUUUAUAAGAUGUGUUUGCUCCAAUAAUCAUCAACAAUAAAGUUAUUUACUUGUAUGUUUCCCUUUUUCAUUUUUUGUCCAAUCUCAAAUCUUAAUAUACUUGUUGGCUCCCUGACUGCGAACGAAAUAACUACAAGGAAAUAACCCCGGAUAGGUGAAGAAAGAAAGAUCGACAAGCAUUCGAAUUUUUCAUAAUAAAAGCACACUUUAUUUUAAUUUAGUUUUUGUUGAUUUAUUUUACUUGCAUUUUUUUUAUCAAUGGAAAGAAUAAAAAAGAAGUAGGCAGAAGAAAACUAAUGGCAGCGGACAUUGGUCACAACUCACAAGUCUGAAAACUGGGCGAUGAUUGGCCACCUUACUUUGCUAACUAGUCGGCUAUCUUUUUCCUUCACUAAAAGUGUGAGAGAAUUGAAUAUUUCAUUGUUGUUGCUUAAAGGAAUGAAUCUUUGUAAUGAGAGUUGCGUAUAUGGAUGACAUGAAUGUACUCCAAGAUUGAUAAGCUCCAAAGGGACUUUUGAAUCCAUUUCACAUAUAAUAUGAUGCGCACCCAGGGAAUGCCAAGAACCAACGCAAAUAGUUCUGUAUGAAGGGAUGUAAUAACCCCACAUGAUCAAUAGAAACGUGUUACUCAUUCACCAGUUGUGUUCUUCCUAAUUACUCCUCCGACGCCUACUUUGCCCAGAUUCCCAAGAGGAGAACCAUCAGUGUUCAACUUCAAGAAAUUUGGUGGUGGCAGACUCCGUGAGAUAUAGAUAACUGAGUUGUCCCUAUUGUUGGAACACACACUGUUCCUCACUUAAUUGCAAGAGAUGCAAUUCACUCCCUCACACAUUCCCUCGUGUAUCACUCACUGUUUUCUAAGCAUAGAAUUGCACACACACUAGGAAUAGCACUAGAGACUGAAAAUGAUAGAAUGAAAACAACACUUUAUUAAGAUGUAUGAUUGCCCUUUUAUACAAGCAAAACAAAGUAACAACCCUUCACUCUUAGGUUAGCACUUAUAACAGAAUUUUAAAAUUCUGCUACUCUCUCUUAUAUACAAAGCCAAAACAGAAUUAAACUCUCACACCCUCCCUUAAUUCUGAUCUCCUAAGUCCAUCAAGCCAAUUCUGUCCCUUAACAUUUUAAACCUCUCCCCUUUGAGAGGUUUGGUUAAAAUAUCAGCAAGUUGAUCAAAUGUGCAGCAGUACUCCACUUUUAAUUUCUCUUUGUUCACUUGAUCCCUAAGAUAGUGAAAUUAAACCUUGUUUCUAUGUGUUUGCUUCUACCAUGAGAGGUUGGAUUCUUUGAUAGGCUUAUAGCUGACUUAUUAUCCACAAAAAGCUUCACUCCAUCACUCUCCUUGAUUUUUAAUUCCUGUAGUAAUGUGUCCAACCAGACAGCUUGACAAGCACUCAUUGCAACUGCAACAUACUCAGCUUCACAUGUUGAUAGAGCCACUAUGGAUUGCUUCUUAGAACACCUCGAUAUUGGUGCUGCACCAUACAUGAAUAUGUAACCUGUAGUACUCUUUCUGUCAUCUCUGUCUCCUCCCCAAUCUGCAUCAGUAUAUCCCAUCAAUUCCUCUGAGUUGCUAUUGUCUUUAUUUGGAAAUAAAAUUCCAGCAUUGAUGCCCCCUUUUAUGAACCUUAGAAUCCUCUUGGCAGCUAAGAGAUGAGGAAUUCUGGGUCCUUUCGUAUAUCUACUUACCAGUCCAACAGCAAAUUCCAAAUCAGGUCUUGAAUGACACAAGUACAUGAGAGAACCAACAAUCUGUUUGAACUCAAUUGCAUCGACUUUGUCUUCCUUGCCCUCCUUUUCAAGUACAAGACCUGCCUCUGUUGGUGUUGCUGCUGAAUUACAUUCAACCAUGUUGAAUCUCUUCAAUAUUUCUGUUGCAUACUUGCUCUGGAGCAUCAAAAUACCUCUCUCAGUCUUCUUGAAUUCAAGUCCAAGGAAAUAGGAUAGAACCCCCAUAUCAGUCAUUUCAAACUCACUCAUCAAUUCCCUUUUUAGUUCUGCUAUUUCACUUUCAUUACCACCAGUGAUCAACAAAUCAUCCACAUAGAGGCAUAUAAUAAUGAUAUUACCUACUGACUUGGAUCUUACAUAGACUCCAAACUCACAGCUACACUUAUCAAAGCCAAUUUUCAUCAUAAAACUGUCAAUUUUAUUGUUCCAAGCUCUUGGGGCUUGCUUAAGUCCAUAAAGAGCUUUUCUCGACCUGAGAACCUUUGACUCUUGGCCAGCUAUAGAGAAUCCAAGUGGCUGAGUAACAUAGACCUCCUCAUCAAGAGGACCAUUUAAGAAAGCACACUUCACAUCUAGUUGGUGCACUGUCCAAUUCUUUAGGCUAGCAAUUGCCACUACUGUUCUAAUAGUCUCAAUUCUAGCAACUGGUGCAAACACCUCUCUGUAGUCAAUCCCAACUUUCUGCAAAAAUCCUCUAGCCACAAGUCUAGCUUUAUACUUGACCACCUUGCCUUCUGGAUUUGUCUUAAUCUUAUAGAUCCACUUCAUAUCAAUGGGCUUCUUUGAUUUUGGUUGAGAUACCAGCUCCCACACUUGAUUUUUCUCAAUAGAUUUAAGCUUUUCUAUCAUAGCUUCAACCCACCUCUGAUCAGUCAUAGCAUCUUCAAAGUUUAUUGGUUCUGCUUCAGAAAACAGAGCAAAAUGUACAAGAUUCCCAUCUGCACUUACAUCAGCAUCAAACAACAUCUCAAAACCUUGAAAUCUAGCUGGUUUGGGUGCAUUUCUCUGGGGUCUCACUUCUCUUUGAGUGGUAUUACCAUUCCCUUCACUUGUUUCUUCCUCUUCUGACCUUAUCAUUAUUGAAGGUCCUUUCAUUUCAGUAUUCUGCUCCCAGUUCCAGCUUCUAGAUUCAUCAAAUACCACAUCCCUACUAAUUAUUAUCUGCUUACUCUUCGGAUCAAACAUCUUAUAGCCUCCAGUUGAGUGAUAUCCGAGUAAGAUCAUUUGUUCACCUUUAUCAUCUAGCUUCCUUCUUAACUGAUCUGGGAUAUGCCUAAAACAAAGUGAUCCAAAGAUUCUGAAAUGGCUCACAUUUGGUUUAGCACCACUCCAAGCUUCUUAAGGUGUUAUUCCUUCCAAUCUCUUUGAAGGGCUCCUAUUCAAGAUGAAGACAGCUGUAGACACUGCCUCUCCCCACAAGUACUUGGGCAGACUCUUGCCUUUCAACAUGCUCCUUACCAUAUUCAUUAUGGUUCUGUUUUUUCUUUCUGCAGCUCCAUUAUGUUGAGGUGUGUAGGGAGGAGUCACUUCAUGAAUUAUGCCUUCUUGAUCACAAAAUUCUUGAAAUUCUAUAGAAACAUAUUCACCUCCACCAUCUGUUCUUAAUAUCUUGAUCAAUGAGUCACUUUGCUUUUCUGCCAUAUUUUUGAACUUCUCAAAGACUUCAAAGACAUCACUCUUCCUUCUUAUUAGGUAAACUCAUACUUUCCUAGUCAAUUCAUCAAUAAAGGAUAUGAAGUAUCCGUUUCCACCCAGAGAUUCAGUUUGCAUAGGGCCACACACAUCAGAGUAAAUCACCUCAAGUUUCUCUUUUGCCCUGAUUGGUACAUUUUGUUUGAAAGUGCUUCUUGAUUGCUUACACUGUAAAUCAGCUGUAGACACUGCCUCUCCCCACAAGAAUGUGAUAACUCAUUCCCUGUGUGUUGUUUCUUUUUGGAUCUUGUGAUGAUCUCGAACCUUGUGUUUGUGGGAACAAAUGGUUAGGUGGAUAGCUUUAGAAAACCUCGUGCUAGAGGACGCCGAGACACAAUGCUCUGAUAGGACGUGACACUGGGACAUGAGUUUAAGCAUUAAUUACAUAAAGUUCUCGACAUGUAGUUUUUAUCAUUUUUGUUUCACAUGUUGAGUCUUUAGUUCAUUCUCUGGAGUUUUGGAUGACCUUGUUUUGAGCCGGAAAUGUUUUCAUACCCCUAAUUGAUAAGUUUUUUUAAUUUGGUGACUAAUGUGAAUAUGAACCUUUUACCCACAUGAACUCCUUAUAUUUAUUGAAUAAAAUCAUUUCAUGUAAUUCUGUAUUUCCAUGUAUUUUAUUAUAUAAAUAUGUAUAUCGGGGUAGAGGGUGUUAGAGUGUGUAUGUAAUAGAUUAUGUUUGUCAUUGUACAACAAUAAUAUAUAUUUUAAAUUCUAACUUAAGGUAGUUUAUAUAUACUUUCUAAAAAAAUAUGUUGCAUGCUCAAAUUUUAAACAAGUUCAUAGUUAUGCUUCUAAAUAUGAUGAAUUUUAUUAAACAUUAAAUUUUAAGUGUACAAGUUUACAUAUUAAUUUUUUUUAAUAUAGACCGAGUCAUGUGGGUCAACUAAUGACUCAUUGGGUCACUGGGUCACUGGGUGACCUAGUACCCCGAUUGAGUCAAUGAAAAAUUCGAGUAUGAUAAUACUGCUACAGGACCAAACCCACAUUGUACCUAAUAUGGGAUUAGGGCCAUUAAUGUUAUUUUUAAAAGUGAUUUUUUUCCAACUGUCCAAAAAAUAAUUUUAAAUUAAUCGACUAGGAUUAAUUUUAGUCGACCUCAACUAGGAUUAUUUGCUACCGACCUUGACAAAGGCUAUUUUUGGACGACCUCAAUGCGGAUUUUUUCCCCACCUCGUUCAAAGCAUUUUUUAUUGACCUUCGUCAAGGCAAUUUUGGACUGACCUUGUUAGGGUUGUUUUGGUCGACUUCGAUCAGAGCUAUUUUUGGUUGAACUCAAUCAAGGUUGUUUUUGGCUGACCUCGGUCAUGACUAUUUUUGGUCAACCUCGGCCAUGACUGUUUUCAGUCUACCUUGGUAGGGGUCGUUUUUGGCUAAACUUGGCUAGGGUUAUGUUCGACCAAUAUCAGCUAGGGUUAUUUUUUACCAACUCCGACCAGGAUUGUUUUUUGUCAACCACACCCAGGGUUAUUUUCUAUUGACCUCGAUCAAGUCUAUUUUUGGUUGACCUUGGUUGAGGUUGUUUAUGGUCGACCUCAACAUGGCUCAUUUUGGUUGACCUUGGCUAAGGUUAUUUUUUGUCAACCUCGGUUAGAGUUGUUUUUGGAUGACAUUGACGAAACUCUUUUUGGAUGACCAACCUAGACUAGGGUUAUUUUUGGCCAACCUCAACUACGGUUAAUUUUGGCUAAUCUCGCCUAUGGUUAUUUUCAGGCGAUAUUGUGUACGAUUAAUUUUGGCCAACCUCGGUUAUGGUUAUUUUUGGCCAACCUUGGUUGAGGUUAUUUUCAGCCAACCUCGACUAGGGUUAAUUUUGGCCGAUCUUGGCUGAGGUUAUUUUCGGCCAACCUCAACUAGGGUUACUUUUGGUCGAUUUCAACUAACCUCUUUUAUACAAUUUUUUACAUGCUCUACUAUAUAAAAAUAAAGAAGUAUGAUAUUGAAAUAUAUAUUUGAAUUAUGAGAAUUGAAAAGAAGGUCUAAUUUUUCGGCCCAUGGGCUAGUCCUAGCCCAUAAGCCUUUGUGGGCUUUUUCGCCCUAUGGGCCAUUUAUAUAUGUGGCCCAUUUUGGCCCUAGCCCACAUGGGCCAAGGCCAAAUGGGUUAGGGUUAGCUUAUUUGACAAGUCUAGUUAUUUGAUUCCACCACAAAUAACACAACGAAAUCAUGCAAUUACCCUUUUAAGCAACAACAUUAUGAUUUCGUUGUGUUUUUAAAAAAAUAGUUUUUUUACAAGAAAUUUUUUGUUUUCGUAAAAGUAAACUUUAAUGUUUUAUAUUGUGAUUUAAUAAUCAUAUUUAUGAUGGUAUGACAAGCCAACAGUGUCCUAGCUUGAUGCAAUGUGAAUCGUUUAUUUUGUCGGUGCAAUCUUGGUUGUUGCUGAUAAUUGACUCACGAUAGAACAAUACAAUAUGAUAAUAAAUACGAUUGGUAUGAGGAUGCUCAAUGCAUUGUGUUGGAUCUUUCACUAUAUUAGGUUGAAGAUGGAGGGGAGUAGUUGCUAUUGUGUAUUAUGAUGGUGAUGUGGUACAAACUUCUGAGGAGGUAUAGUUUGAAUGUCUAAAUGGUCCUAAAUUCAUAAAAAUUAGUGAGGAAAUGUUGCUUAUUGCUUUGAGGAAAGUAGUCACAAAUGUCAUCAAAGGCAAAAGAAGCAGGCAGAAGAAGCUUAUUUGAGGUUUUUUUUUAUCGUAAACAUAUAUAUGUAGGUAAUGGUUGUGCUUAGUAUGACUGCAUGGAGCUUAAAGACACAAUGAAGUGGGGAAAGCGUUUUUCAUCUUUUCAUAAUUUAGUUCUAAAGGUCUGAUCAAGUUGUAUGCAAUGGUUAGCUAUCUCCAAAAGAAUUCUUUGCCCUGGUGAGAAACCAAGAAAACCAAGACCUACCGAAGAAAUCAUUUCUAUGAUGUGUGGAUCAAUGGUGACAACAAGCUCUAAUGAAGAUCAUAACUCUAUUUAGUCAUGUUUUAAUUGAUGAAAUUUAUGUCAGUUUUGGUUGUUGUUGUUGUUGUUGUUUGUUUUUUGAAUUAAAUUGAAAUUUCGUUCUUUAUUACAUUAAUAGGCGUGUGUCAUUUAAACAUAUAAACAAGGCAAACAAAAACUACUAAAAAUAAGUUUUUAUAAAAAACAUCAUAAGUAAAAUACAUAAUAAUACAAAAUGAUUGAAAAAAAUCAUCAAAUGUCUUCAAGUGCCCUUAUGGCCACCUCCUCUGCCACCUUUGUUGGCUUUCUUCCUCGGCUACUCCUCAGUGACCUACAUCCAGCUGCAAGACCAUCGUGUGCCAUCAGCAGAAGUUGUUGUUUGACCUGAUGACUAUUUAUGCCUUUAGGUACAACUCUCAUGUCCAUUAGUCUCUAUGUGUACGCUGACAUCAUUUGGAAUCAAUCCUACAUAAAUAAAACAAUACAAUUAGUAAUUAUUUUUUUAUUAAAAAUAAAACAAAAUGAUGAAAAUAUUGUUUGCAUUACUUGAUAGGAGUAAACAACCCCUGAUACAUAAUCUAGCAUCUGAACACCACUAGCUCGUGGCCGAGGUUGAGGAGAAAUAUGUAUUAGGACUGUGUGGUGGCUCUCCCUCCUGUGGUGAAAGCAUGUAUGGAUGUGAAUGCUCUUAAUACCAAGGCAGGUAGUAUCGAGUGCAAGCCCAUGGAGCCCCAUGUGGAACAACCUUGACCACUGCCACUGCAUGCUUAUCUCACUCGGCCCAUGUCUGACAAUAAGGCUCAUAUUCUUUAGGAUGCUCAAAUGGGUCCAAGGGAAUCCAUUGUACGUACCCAAACUAUCUCAAAACCUUCUUUGAUAGAUAUAACCACAUGUAUAUCCUAACUCCAAUGUAGGCAGGGUACGAUGUCUAGUCGUCAAAAGGUAUGAGGUCUUUGGGUGAUGCAUAUUGGGACCAGACAACAUCAGUCAUCUAUAGCCUAUCCAAUAACUCCCUAGUCCCAACAACCUUGUUAGUACCCCUCAACGGCAUGUUGCGAUGCUUGCGGUCAUGAUCCAACACCUUUUCACUACAAGGAAUGGUCGAAAAAGGCUCAAACACCCAUGCUUGUAAAACAUGAAAUAUAUUUUUAGCAUCAAGUAGUACUAAAAAAAACAUCAAUUAUGUAUACAAAAUUAAAUUGUUCUUACUAUGAGUAGAGUCAUAUAAGCUCACAUAUGUUUGUUGGUAUACUUGUAAGCAUAUGUCAAUUGGUCAUAAAGAUAAGCCAACGUAGUUGCCCCCAAGCGUACUUAUAGCAUCAAUCCAAAUCACCGAGGUACUAGAGGUAGCAGAUGUGUACACUCGUCAAGUUCUUCUCGACAAAUAUGGUAUUGUCAAGCAAAUGCAGAAAAUACACCUUGGCAACCCAAACAAAUGACUCAUUGGAAACGUAACUGUGAUAAGGCUCUCUAACAAACUCAGAGGCACCUUAUUGCUUGAUGACGUUGCAACAUCUACCUCCUGGUCCAUCAUAAUUCCAAGCUCUAACCUUACUAGACCUCUAAUCUCCUUUGUGGCGUAGGUCGUGUCUGUUUGAUCAAGAAAACAAACGAUGAUAGAAAGAUGUAAAAGGCAUGACAAAUAAUUAAGGGUAAUGGUCAUCUCUCUUAUAGAAAGGUGGAAGGAGGAGGUCACACUGUGCCAUCUCUCAAUAAAGACAUUGACUACGCCUUUAUUUGUGGACAUGUACCGCGCAUCAUACAGGCCCUUUAGCCUUGACCUAUCCACGUACCUCUUCAUCAUUGAAUUGGUGGGGUAGUGCAUAACCUUGCCACCAUGGCUGACCAGCUUCAGCUCAUCUUUGGGUUGACUGAUCCAUACAUGGCCAACUAUGUGGUCCUUAUAGGAUCGAAGCAGACUCAAAUACAUAAGACUUCCUCCAAUUGGGGAUUUGAUGAUAUGGUUAGUAGGCGAUAUUUGUGGUUGUUGUGGCUUUGGUUGUGCCUUAGGCUAUGGCUCCGGUUGUGCCUGUGCCUCCGGCUCUUGUCAAGAAGCCUUUGAAUCACAACAUGCUGACAUAGUCACGCGUUGCCUCUGAAACUCAACAUCUGAUACAAAGGCAAUAAGCUUUGUGUGAUCCAUCUAAAAAGGGUAGGAAUAUCAAUUAAACAAUAAAUUAGAUAAUUUAAAAACAAAAAAUUGAUGAAUAACACAACAAAAUCGUAUUUCUGUUAUGGUUUUAUAAAAACAACAUAUCAAAAAUACGAUUUUAUUGUGCUAUUUGAUAAAUAAUACAACAUAACCGUAUUUUAAUUGUACUUUUUUCAAAACGAAAAAAAAUAACACAAUGGAAGUGUGAUUCCGUUGGGUUCUAGGUUCAUAAUCACAAUAGGAUCGUACUUCCAUUGUGUUUUUGUUUUGUUUUGAAAAACACCACAACAUAGUUACGAUUCAGUUGUGAUUUUCAACACAGGACAUAAUGGAACUAGUAUUCCAUUGUAUUCUGGGUUGAGAAUCACAAUGAAAUUGUACUUUUGUUGUGGUGUUUUCCAAAACAAAACAAUAAAACACAACAAAAGUAGGAUUCCGUUGUGAUUCUCAACCCAGAACACAACGAAAUCACACAACUAUUGUGUAUAAAAAAGAAAAAAAAUAACUUAAUAGAGCUCCAAAAUGAGAAAUGAAUGGAGAAGAGAGAAGGGUCUUCGACGAAAAUGAGAAAAUGAAAGGGAGCGGGAAAGAAUGAAGGAAGAGAAUGAGAGGGAGUGGGAUUGAAGGGACUUGGAUGAGAGGAAGAAAAUGAGAAGGAGUGAGUGAGAUAGAGAGAGGGAGAGAAAGAGAGAUGUUUAAGAGGAAGGGGAAAGGGUGGGGGUGAGAAGAAGGGGUGGGCAGAUGCGAAAGGGAAGGGGUGGGGGUAAGGGGAAAUUUCCUUAAGGACAAUUUCAUAUUUCCAUUACCAUUUUCAAAAAUGGUAGUGCCAAUAACAGUGGGAGGUAGUGAGAAUAACAAUUCCCAAAUAAGUGGAUUAUGCAAGCUAGCCUAUGAGCCCACAGAAUACGUCGUCAAGUCCACUGGUUUCAUGGGCCAAACUCAAGUAUUGCCUAUAGUUAUGUGGGUUAAAAAAAGCAGGUUCGUUAUCCACGCGGUCCGCUGGCUUAACGGGCUGACCCACGAACUUAGGCCCAUAUACCCACCUCUAGUGAUGGCGAGAUGAGGACGACAAUGAUAAUGACUACGAUAGCAACAAAAUAGUGAUAGUAGUGAUAUUGAGUGGUAGUAGAAAUAGUGGAGUGACAGUGAUUUCCUAUUUAAACGCCCAAGGUGGCUUUCCUAGUCCAAAAUUCGUUACACUAAAAAAGUGGCUCAAUAGGCCUAGAACGGGUGGAAAAGAAAAGUAAAUUUAAAUAAUAAUUGUAUAAUAUUUUUAUAUUAAAUAAAAAGUAAAUUUAUCUUUUAAAAAAACAUCAUCCCAUUUAAUGGUACAUUGAUAUUUUUUUUUACUUUUAUAUAAAAAAUAAAAUAAAAAAACUAACAAUCCUCCCCUCAGCUUGCUUGUUUUAAAAAAUAAAAUAAAAAACAUCAUCCCAUUUAAAUGAAAUUUGUUUUUAUUUUUAAUUAUUCAAAGACGGUCAUUAUAAUAAGACCGUCUUUGUAUCAGCUUGCUUGUUUAUUAAAGGCGGUUAUUUCAAUAAUCGUUGUUGUCAACUUUUAGAAAAUUACAAUAAUGCCACCGCUAUUAUUUUUACAACGUGUGAUAUUCAACCGUGGUAAGUGUGAUGUCGUAAAAUAACAUUAUUGUAGUAGUGUUAAUAUAUUUUAACUUUAAAAAAAACUUCUGAAUUUUACUUUAUAAAUUACUGGUCAGUAAAAUACAACGAAGGCCUUAGAUCCAUGUUGAAGGAAUGACAAUCGGAGAGUGGAGGCAUAAUCUACUACUCCUACUUUGACACUUUUGCCUGCCAUCAACGACCUUAUUCAGACUCCAGCUUCUUAUGGUACCAUUUUAUACCUACAAUAACAUAUCCAAAUAAGUUCUCAGUUAUCAGCCCUUCCUAUUGUGCUCCUAAGGCUCUUAACUUACAAAUUAACACAAAGAAAGGUGUCACUUAUGACGUAAAGGGUAACCGUGUAUUUUAUAUAAAAGAUACUUUGUUCACAUUUCACGGUCGUCGUGUGUUAUGUGAUGAUAAAGGAAACCCCAUCGUCACUCUAUAUAAGAAGGUAUGUUACUGAUCUAGGAGACAUCUUAUACUCAGCGAUUUUUUUUCUAUUAAUUAAAUUAACUAAAUUGAUAUUAUAUAUUCUUAAUUUUUAUUUUUUAUCAGCAAAUAUUAAUUAUUAAUUUUGGUAGUUUUUUUAGUGAAAUAAAUUUGAAUCCAUAACCUCUCUCUUUUCUUCUUUCUUUAACUAUCAAAUCAAUCUUAUAUAAUUUAGUAUUCUUAAUUUUUGUUUAUAUGUAGAAUGUGACAUUGCACGGGCAAUGCAAAGUUUUCAGGGGUAAUACCUCUGAGUUGCUCUUUUCGGUGAAGAGAUCGUCAAUAAUCCCGAGUGGGAAUAUGCUUAGAUUAGAUGUCUUCCUUGGAAACAAGAGAAAAGGAAGCAUGUGUGAUUUUAGAGUCAUCGUUCGUGGAAGUAAAAAUUCAUGCACUAUUUAUGCCGGUGAAUCUCCAACUAUUGUUGCCAAGGUGUGUAUUGCAUGUGUUCUGGGCAUGUUUUUAUAUACACAUUAAUUUAAUUGCCUAUCUAGUAUGGGUUUGGAUAAUUAUUGAUAAAAAUUAAUUUUAAAUUUUGAAUGAAAUUAAUUUUACAGACUUGAUUAGAAUUAAAAUUGAUUUUAAAGUGAUGUGUAAUUUAUAUUUAAAUAUUUUUAUGAUAAAAUUAAGUUAGGAGUAAAAUUUAGUAUAAUUUUUUUAUUCUAGUUAGAAUUGCUUAGUUCAGAAUCAAUUUUAGACCCAAAAUUAAUUAUGAAUCUUUUUAACAUAAAAUCAAACAUAUAAUUUUUGUUCUAAAAUCAAUUAUGAACUUGAAAAUUAUUAUUGUUUUUUUCCUAUUAACUCAGAAUCAAUUCUAACAUGAAACAAAGCACACAUACUUUUAUCUUGGUAAUUGUCGUGGAUCUUGAGCACAAAAUGAGUAUUAGUCUCCUGGUACGAUUUAUUACAUGCCUAAGAACAAAUCAAGAUUUGAAUUCCAAAUCACUUUUGUUAUGCCAAACUGUUAUUGAUCCAAACACAUACUUAACACAGCUGAAUGGAUAUAAUGACUACAUUUUAUCGCCCUCUUUCAUGUAGAUGGAGAAUAAUGGAGGCUUCAAAGUCUUGGUCUAUCCCAACGUGGACUACACAUUCAUAGUGGCACUACUUAUGAUUAUUGAUGACAUCAAAGAUUAUGAUGUGUUGGUAAAUGCGUCGGUGAGUAGUAUCCUAACUGUGGCGACGGGGGGUAUCUUACCUAUUCUGACAUUGUUUGAGGGAGAAAAUUUAGAAGAAGAAACCUUAGAUGGAGAAAACUUAGAAGAAGAAUACUUACAAGAAGGAGAAAACAACUCAGGUGGAGAAAACUUAGAUGGAGAAAACAACCCAAAAGGAGAAAAUUUAGAUGGAGAAAACUUAGAAGUAGAAAACAACUUCGAAGCUGAAACUUAGACGCAGCUUCUAAGUGAGUGCUUGUGGUAUUGUUCUCUAAUUGGCAUUAAUGUUUAUGUAGUUUCAUGUCAAUAAUCUGCAUAAUAAAGGUUUUCAUUAAAUGUCAAUGCAGAUUAGUCAGCUGGUUAAAUUCUUAUUCUGUCGUCUAAGUUUUAUUGUUGUAUAUGAAACAAAUUAAAAUUAAAUUUUGGGCAUGAUUUUGGUUAGAAUAGGUUGUGUCUUUUCAUUUUAGUGUAUGAAUAAAAUCGAGAAGAUAUUGCAUAUAAAAAAAGAUGUAAUAUUUUUCGCAGUUUUUUUUAUAAAAAAAUUUGAGUAAUGAUAUUGGAACAUUAUUAUUUUGAAUAUUUAUCAACACUUUUUAUUUUUCUUUAUCUUUCUUUCUAGCAUGUCAAAUCACUAUUGCGUAUAAUAUGAAUGGGCAAGAAUAAGUAUAUCUUAUACAAAUAGUAUCGAAGAUUAAAAGUCCAGAUAUCAAAUGCACAUGAUUAAUUGUGUUCUCAAAAUUAUACAUUUUAUUUUGCAACUAAGUAAUUGAGGAAAGAAAUUAAAUUAAGAUGUGAUUGAUGGUCAAUUAUCUAAUGCAAGAUAUCAAAUCUAAACGAGUAAGAUAGUAUGAAAGAGAAGAUGAUUUCCGGCAUACCAAUUCUAUCAAUCCUAAUUCUAACAAGAUUAUUGUUAAUUUCCCGUUUUCUAAAGUCAAUUAUUAGUCAUUGAUUGUGGUCUAAUAAUGCUCUUUGUCUUAAACAAUAGUCAAUUGAUCGUUGACGUAUUAAUGGCUGACCAGCUUCAGCUCAUCUCUGGGUUGACUGAUCUAUACAUUGCCAGCUAUGUGGUCCUUAUAGGAUUGAAGCAGACUCAAAUACAUAAGGCUUCCUCCAAUUGGGGAUUUGAUGAUAUGGCUAGUAGGUGAUAUUUGUGGUUGUGGUGGCUCUUGUUGUGCCUUAGGAUAUGGCUCUGGUUGUGCCUGUGCCUUUGGCUCUUGUCGAGAAGCCUUUGAAUCACAACAUGCUGACAUAGUCACUCAUUGCCUCUGAAACUCAGCAUUUGAUACAAAGGCAAUAAGCUUUGUGUGAUCAUUCUAAAAAGGGUAGGAAUAUCAAUUAAACAAUAAAUUAGAUAAUUUAAAAACAAAAAAUUGAUGAAUAACACAACAGAAUCGUAUUUCUGUUAUGGUUUUAUAAAAACAACACAUCAAAAAUACGAUUUUAUUGUGCUAUUUGAUAAAUAAUACAACAUAACCGUAUUUUAAUUGUAUUGUUUUCAAAACAAAACAAAAAAUAACACAACGAAAGUGUGAUUUUGUUGGUUCUAGGUUCAUAAUCACAAUAGAAUCGUACUUCCAUUGUAUUUUUGUUUUGUUUUGAAAAACACCACAACAAAGUUAUGAUUCUGUUGUGAUUUUCAACCCAGUACAUAAUGGAACUAGUAUUCCAUUGUGUUCUGUGUUGAGAAUCACAAUGAAAUUGUACUUUUGUUGUGGUGUUUUCCAAAACAAAACAAUAAAACACAACAAAAGUAGGAUUCCGUUGUGAUUCUCAACCCAGAACACAACGAAAUCACACAACUAUUGUGUAUAAAAAAGAAAAAAAAAUAACUUAAUAGAGCUCCAAAAUGAGAAAUGAAUGGAGAAGAGAGAAGGGUCUUCGACGAAAAUGAGAAAAUGAAAGGGAGCGGGAAAGAAUGAAGGAAGAGAAUGAGAGGGAGUGGGAUUGAAGGGACUUGGAUGAGAGGAAGAAAAUGAGAAGGAGUGAGUGAGAUAGAGAGAGAGAGAGAGAGACGCUUGAGAGGAAGGGGAAUGGGUGGGGGUGAGAAGAAGGGGUUGGGUAGAUGCGAAAGGGAAGGGGUGAGGGUAAGCGGAAACUGCCUUAAGGACAAUUUCAUAUUUCCACUACCAUUUUCAAAAAUGGUAGUGUCAAUAGCAGUGGGAGGUAGUGGGAAUAGCAGUUCCUGAAUAAGUGGAUUAUGCAGGCUAGCCUAUGAGCCCACAAACUAAGUCCGUCAAGUCCACUGGUUUCAUGGGCCAAACUCAAGUAUUGCCUAUAGUUAUGUGGGUUAAAAAAAGCAGGUUCAUUAUCCACGCGGUCCGCUAGCUUAACAAGCCGACCCACGAACUUAGGCCCAUAUACCCACCUCUAGUGAUGGCGAGAUGAAGACGGAAGUGAUAAUGACUCCGAUAGCAACAAAAUGGUGAUAGUAGUGAUAUGGAGUAAAUUUAAAUAAUAAUUGUAUAAUAUUUUUAUAUUAAAUAAAAAGUAAAUUUAUCUUUUAAAAAAACAUCAUACCAUUUAAAUGUACAUUGAUAUUUUUUUAAACUUUUAUAUAUAAAAUAAAAUAAAAAACUAGCAAUCCUCCCCUCAUUUGGAAGAUGUUUUUUCAGACUUGUUACUUAAAAAUCAAAUCAAACUAUUUUAAAUUACUAUAUAUGGAUUAAAAAAAAUUGAAAUUUAAUCAAAUUGAUAAAUAAAAAGAUGGCAUUUUUUUAAGUUUCUAUUAUUAAAAUUGAACAAAAUCAAAUCAAAUGGAUAAACUUAUAUUAUUUGUUUUGUUUACCCCAUAUAAAAUCACAUUCUUUCUUUAAUUAACCCCUUUAAAAUCCCAUUUUAUUUUAGACUUUUAUCUAUACACCAAUAUUUUUUUACCAUUGUUAGGUCAAAAGACCUUUGAGUCUUAAGACAAAUCAAGACCCUUAAACAUUUUGAUUAAAUACAAAUAAAUACAAAAGUUAAAAGUUGUAUCUUACGUGCACUCAAAUGAAGAAACAUUGCAUUUGCAUCUAAAGUUUCAAAUGGAAGUAGAUAAAUGUAUGAUCUAAUGCAACAUUUAAUAUCUCAUUUAAGACUUUAAUUUAAUACUUUGUGCUUGAGAUUCAUUUUGCAUAAUUUGUUUUAAAAGGCAUUCUCCUAGGAUCUCUCAAAAUCCUAAGAAGAAUAAAAGAACUUUAAGAGCCUGGAAGUUCAAAUAGUAUCAAAACUCGUGCUCUGUUGUGAUAGACCUGGUCUAACAAAAAAUAAGUGAUUUUUUGCUAAAGUAUCCUUCAAGGAAGCUAAAGAGAGUGAUUUUCCAGCAUGAAGCGGACAUGCAUUUUAUACAAACAUUGAAUGCCCCAACGAACACUUCUUCAAACACAAGCUUCAAUGAAAAAUUCUACUCAUUUAGGCACAAUAGAAACUUGAAGAAGAAGGCUUAUAAAUACCAAAGGCUUUGAAGAAGAGCUGUAACUAAUGAACCUACACGAAAAGAUUCAAAUUCUCUUGUUCUUUCUUCUCAAGCUUGUAUAUCCAUUAGUAAGACGAUUAAGAACUAGUUAGCGAGCCAACCAAACAACAAAUAUUUUGAUUUGUUUUAGAGCCAUUAAUGGCUUCGUAGAACAAAAAAUACUAGGUUCUUCAAGCUUGUUCUGUAAGAGUCAGAAGUGGCAGUGAAAAAUAAUACUUGUAACAUGUUGGAGUUAGUGAAACUUGGUGGUUUGCUCGAGAUGCAGAAACUUUAAUGAAUUUGUUAACACAACCGAUCUAAAAGGACGUCCUCAUGCUUCUUAAGCUUUACCCAAAUUUGGCCUUUUACAUUGGUUGUCAAGCAAGUGAUUUAAAAAGAAAAUGUUUUAUAUCAAUUGUGUUUACAAUCGAUGCAAAAAGUAUUGAUGUCCAUCAAAUAAUUAAUGGAUCUCACAAAAAGUGCAUAAGUGUUUCUUUUUAAACAAUUGAGAGACCAAAUUUGACCUUUUAAUAAAUGAGGGAUAAAAUUGAACCUUAAAAUAUAGUUAAGGGACAAAUUGUAUAAUUAAGCCUUAUUUAAAUCUUGUAAUUAAAUUAGGUAAGUGUCAUAUUUAUAAUAAAAUUUGAAUAAAAAAUAUUUAAUGAGGUUAUUUUAAUAAAGGAUUGACUUUCCCAAGAAUCCUGAUACACCGGUGUACCAGAUAAGUAUCCUGCCAACCAAAAGGAUGAAUACUAAAAAUCCAAUACAUCACAAUUAUCAUAAGAACCCAACAUUCAGUCACUUGAAUACCCUUUGGGCUAAUGUCAAAACAUCUAGUAUGAUAAAAGACACUCUAAUCAAGAUUAAAGAGAUAAUUGAACAUUGUAAUCACACUUAAAAUAAGAUUAUCUAAAAUGGUAAUCAUGUAAAAAAAUCUCACAGGUCCGUAGACCGACCAUUAAAGUAAUUAUAAAUAGAUAUGAGAAUCUUGAGGUAAGAGGAUUGUUCAGUCAUUUAUUACUCUAGGUGAAACCUUAUUUGAGUGUCGAAGUGCAUUUUGCACCCAUCCUUCAAAAGAAGAACCCGCUAAGCACACUAAAGCGAGAUACAUCAAAGUGAAAGAUAUAGCAAGGAGAAAGGCAUCUGGGCACUUCAAGCAUGAACAUCAGGUAUGAAAAAAUUUUCUCUCCUACCAAACAUCCUAUAGUUAAUGGAUAUUCUCUCCUCCCUAAUCCCCUUUCUACAUUAUCUUCUCAUUCAUUUCCUUCUUUUGCUAAUUUUCUUCCUACUAAAUGCUACCUUUUAAUUACUUUUCAAAUUUAUCCGAUGAAUUAAGAUAAACAUAUUUUUUAAAUUGAAUAACAAUUGUAAUAUUUGUGUGUGAAAACAAUUGUAAUUUUUUUAUUAUUCCAGUUAUGGGAGCCAAUUGUUAAACCACUAUUUAAUAUUCAUGAGGAUAAAAAUAUCAAACAAUUAAUGAUUUGUUUCAAGUGGCCUUAAACCGACAGUAUGCCAGAGGACUUGUUUUCUUGAGUAUAGGUUCAUGGACAUUUAAUUAUGGUGAUGAUGAUACACUCGAUUUUUCACUAUUUAAAACUGUAAGUUGAUCUAUCCACUUGAUGAUAACGAAACCUUUAAACUAUGUAUUCUUAAUUGAAAAUAAUAAAGUCUUCAUCAUUGCCAGCGGAUGCACAAGCUACACAUAAAAAUUAGGCUUAAUAUAUUUUAACUUUUUAAUUUCUAAUUUGAUGUAUUUUAUCUUUAACUUUUAAAAAAAAUUCUGAAUUUUACUUUAUAAAUUACUGGUCAGUAAAAUACAACGAAGGCCUUAGAUCCAUGUUGAAAGAAUGGCAAUCGGAGAGUGGAGGCAUAAUCUACUACUCCUACUUUGACACUUUUGCCUGCCAUCAACGACCUUAUUCAGACUCCAGCUUCUUAUGGUACCAUUUUAUACGUACAAUAACAUAUCCAAAUAUUAUUUUCUUUCUUAAUUCUUUUCAUUUCUUUAUUAAAAUUAAGAAACUUUCCUUUCUCUUUUAUUUUUUAUUCUAAUUCAAAUAACUUUAAAAUUUAUUAUCUUUCUUCUCUUUUAUUUCUUUCCUCUACCAAAAGAUGUUUAUUAGUUUUGUUUUGAGUAAAUGACCAUUUUAUUUUCUAAAUUUGUAUUUUGUUAUGGUUUUAGUACUUAAAAUCAAGAAAAAUUCAAAUAAGUUCACGAACAUUUUUAGUGUUUCACUUAAAUCUCUGAAAGUAACUUUUUUUCUUUUUCUUAUUUUGGUUCCUAAACUCAUGUUGUUAUUAUUACCUAAGUCCUCGUACUAGGGGUCAAAAUGAAAAAAGAAAAGAUGUUAGGUUAAGAGACUUAUUUGGUGAGAUACAAAUUUAGGAAAUGAAUUGGCUAUUUACUCUUUUGUUUUUAUAAAGUUGAUUUCUAAUUAAAAUAAGUUUAAAUCACUUUUCAGGAUUUAGUGAGCCAGAGCUCCCAGCCUGCCAUUGUCAAACCUUUGUCCUAACAGAGACAAGAUCACAUCUUCUUUGACCAAAUUCCAUCCUACGGAGGCGUUGCUCGUUUGUUUGUUAUUUGUUAUAAACUUUUUUAUGGCCCUUCAAGUUACACAUUGUAGAAAAUAAUAUUAUAAAAUGUAACAAUUUUAUUAUAUAUAACCCAUUGAUGGCCCUUCAUAUUUAUCCAAUAGCUUAUCUCUAACUUUGAACAUUAACAUUGCAAUCGCGCUUCUGUUUUUAUUUUUUUUAAUUUUGAAAUUUGUAAAAAAAUCUUUCAUUCUCUUUUCACUGCUAAUUUUCUUCCUACUAAAUGCUACCUUUUAAUUACUUUUCAAAUUUAUCCAACGAAUUAAGAUAAACAUAUUUUUUAAAUUGAAUAACUAUUGUAAUUUUUGUUGUUGUUGAAAACAAUUAUUGUUUUUUAUUACUCCAGUUAUGGGAGCCAAUUUUAAACCACUAUUUAAUAUUCAUGAGGAUAAAAGUAUCAAUCUACAAUUAAUGAUUUGUUUCAAGUGGCCUUAAUCCGACAGUAUUUGGAGGACUUGUUUUUUUUAGUAUAGGUUCAUGGACAUUUAAUUAUGGUGAUGAUGAUAGUACCAUGAUAUACUCGAUCGUUUACUAUUUAAAACAGUAAGUUGAUCUAGUCUCUACUUGAUGAUAACAAAACCUUUUAACAAUGUAUUCUUAAUUGAAAAUAAUAAAGUCCUCAUCAUUGCCAGCUGAUGCAUAAGCUAUCCAUAAAAAUUAGGUUUAAUUGUAUAAUUUUUUUAAUUUUUGAUGAAUUUUAUUUUUAACUUUUUAAUUUGACAUAUUUUACCUCUAAUUUUUAAGAAGCUUGUGAAAUUUAUCCUUCCCAUUUAUCUAUUAAAAAGCAUAAUAAUUGAUGGUAAAAUUUGUCAAAAAAAUAAAUAGUUCAAGAGUAAAAUUCGUAAAGAAUAAUAAGUCAGGGAUAAAAAGUACAAUUAUAUUAAUAGUUAAAUGAUGGGAGUAAAAUUCACAAGAUUCUUAAAAUUUGGGAUAAAGUAUAUCAAAUUAAAAAAAUUAAGGUAAAAUUCACCAAAAAUUUAAGAAAUUAAGGAUAAAAAAUACAAUUACGCCUAAAAAUUAUCAUUUUGUCUACCCCAAUGUUUUUUUUAUUUCAGCUUAAUUUAAGAAAUUAAGGAUAAAAAAUACAAUUACGCUUCAAAGAUAUUUACAAUCUUUCUAGUUAACGUUUUACAAAGAGUACUGUGUUUAAUUCAUGGUGGGAAUAAUGAAAAUUGAUUUUGAUUUGAUUUAAACACGAUUUUAUCAAAAUAUAAAUGCUUGGUUAUUGUUAGCUAAAGUUAUUUUGCUUUAUAAGAAGUGAUAAAAAGUAACUUUUAUGUUGAGUUAAAGAAGCAAUCUCGCUUUCAAGAUAAAAGCAUACAAACCCUUGUCGAUUUAAAAUAAAAUUUAAUAUUAUUUUCUUAUUUAUUUUGGUCAAAUAAUUUUUAAAAUUUAUUUAUCUGUUCCACAAUUAGCCUAUGAAACCGUUUUGUCUACGCAUAAUUAGACUUCUAAUAAACCCAAACAUAUUUUCAAAGACCAAAUCUGUAAAAGUAAGAAAAAAAUCAAUUAUUUCCUUAGAUAAAAAUUGAGAACAACUUGGCUAGUUUAAUCAAAUUUCAUUUCCCCACAUUUUGACAAAGUCAUAAGCUAGCUAGCUAAACGAACUACGACUUUUCUCACUGUGUACGUUUUCCAUGCCAAGUCUUCGGAAUCUUGGGCUCUGCAAGUUGAUGGUCAACUAGGCAGUUUUGCCAUUGGGUAAGUGGACCUAUUUAUAAAGGAUGGUCAAUUGAGCAAUUAAUUGAUUAACAUAUGUACCUAACAUAUGUCUAAGAUGCUUAUGUCUUUAACCAAGUACUAGUAGUUUAGAAUUUAAAUUUUAAUUAAUUAUUAGGUAUAAAAUAAAUUAUAUUAAAAAAAAACCUAUUUUACAUGUGUUCAAGAUUUCUAACGAAAAUUUAUUUUUAUUUUCAAUGAAAACAAUUUUAUAAUUAUAAAAAAUAAAACAUACGUGACCAAACACACAAUGUGUGUACAUAACAUAUGCUCUAUAAAUUAGCCUUUACUCCAAAAGACUAUCUCAUACCACAACACAUGUUUCCAAUGGCAAAUAAGUUCUCAGUUAUCAGCCCUUCCUAUUGUGUUCCUAACUCUCUUAACCUACAAAUUAACACAGAGAAAGGUGUUACUUACAACGUAAAGGGUAACCGUGUAUUUUACAUAAAAGAUACUUUGUUCACAUUUCACGGUCGUCGCGUGUUAUGUGAUGAUAAAGGAAGUCCCAUCGUCACUCUAUACAAGAAGGUUUGUUACUGAUCGAGGAGGCAUCUUAUACUCAUUUUUUUUUGAAUUUUUUUUCUAUUAAUUAAAUUAACUAAAUUGGUAUUAUAUAUUCUUAAUUUUUGUUUUUUAUCAGCAAAUAUUAAUUAUUAAUUUUAUUAGUUUUUUUUAGUAAAAAAAAAAUUGAAUCUAUAACCUCUCUUUUUCCUUCUUCCUUUAUCUAUCAAAUCAAUCUUAUAAUUAUUUGGUAUUCUUAAUUUUUGUUUAUAUGUAGAAUGUGACAUUGCACGGGCAAUGCAAAGUUUUCAGGGGUAAUAGCAAUGGUCCCUCUGAGUUGCUCUUUUCGGUGAAGAGAUCGUCAAUAAUCCCGAGUGGGAAGAUGAUUAGAUUAGAUGUCUUCCUUGAAAACAAGAGAAAAGGAAGCAUGUGUGAUUUUAGAGUCAUCGUUCGUGGAAGUAAAAAUUCAUGCACUAUUUAUGCCGGUGAAUCUCCAACUAUUGUUGCCAAGGUGUGUAUUGCAUGUGUUCUGGGCAUGUUUUUAUAUACACAUUAGUUUAAUUACCUAUCUAGUAUGGGUUUGGAUAAUUGCUGAUAUAAAGUGAUGUGUAAUUUAUAUUUAAAUAUUUUUAUGAUAAAAUUAAGUUAAGAGUAAAAUUUAGUAUAAUUUUUUAUUCUAGUUAGAAUUGCUUAACUCAGAAUCAAUUUUAGAUCCAAAAUCGAUUAUGAAUCUUUUUUAACAUAAAAUCAAACAUAUAAUUUUUGUUCUAAAAUCAAUUAUGAACUUGAAAAUAAUUUUUUUUUUUUGCUUUUAACUCAUAAUCAAUUCUAACCUGAAACAAAGCACACAUACUUUUUUCUUGAUAAUUAUCGGAAACCUUGAGCACACACAAAAUGAACAUUUCCCCUUUUAAUACGAUUUAUAACCUAAGGACAAAUUAUAAUUCGAACCCUAAACCACUUUUAUUGUGCCAAACUCUUAUUGAUCCAAACAAAUAAUUAAUACAACUGAAUGGAUAUAAUGACUACAUUUUAUCGCCCUCUUUCAUGUAGAUGGAGAAUAAUGGAGGCUUCAAAGUCUUGGUCUAUCCCAACGUGGACUACGCAUUCAUAGUGACACUACUUAUGAUUAUUGAUGACAUCAAAGAUUAUGAUGUGUUGGUAAAUGCGACGGUGAGUGGUGUCCUAACUGUGGCGACGGGGGGUAUCUUACCUAUUCUGACAUUGUUUGAGGGAGAAAAUUUAGAAGAAGAAACCUUAGAUGGAGAAAACUUAGAAGACGAAUACUUACAAGAAGGAGAAAACAACUCAGGUGGAGAAAACUUAGAUGGAGAAAACAACCCAGAAGGAGAAAAUUUAGAUGGAGAAAACUUAGAAGUAGAAAACAACUUCGAAGCUGAAACUUAGACGCAGCUUCGUAAGUGAGUGCUUGUGGUAUUGUUCUCUAAUUGGCAUUAAUGUUUAUGUAGUUUCAUGUCAAUAAUAAUCUGCAUAAUAAAGGUUUUCAUUAAAUGUCAAUGCAGAUUAGCCAGCUGGUUAAAUUCUUAUUAUGUCGUCGAAGUUUUAUUGUUGUAUAUGAAACAAAUUAAAAUUAAAUCUUGGGCACGAUUUUGGUUAGAACAGGUUGUAUCUUUUCAUUUUAGUGCAUGAAUAAAAUUGAGAAGAUAUUGUAAAUAAAAAAAGAUGUAAUAUUUUUCGUAGUUUUUUUAUAAAAAAAAUUGAGUAAUGAUAUUGGAACACUAUUAUUUUGAAUAUUUAUCAACA
rnacentral:lncRNA from 1 species